rnacentral:rRNA from 1 species
GUAGGUGGCAAGCGUUGUCCGGAAUUAUUGGGCGUAAAGCGCGCGCAGGCGGUUCUUUAAGGGUCUGAUGUGAAAGCCCACGGGCUCAACCGUGGAGGGUCAUUGGAAACUGGAGAACUUGAGUACAGAAGAGGAAAGCGGAAUUCCACGUGUAGCGGUGAAAUGCGUAGAGAUGUGGAGGAACACCAGUGGCGAGGGCGGCUUUCUGGUCUGUAACUGACGCUGAGGCGCGAAAGCGUGGGGAGCAAACAGGAUUAGAUACCCUGGUAGUCCACGCCGUAAACGAUGAGUGCUAAGUGUUAGGGGGUUUCCGCCCCUUAGUGCUGCAGCUAACGCAUUAAGCACUCCGCCUGGGGAGUACGGCCGCAAAGGCUG